UAGAGUUUGAUCCUGGCUCAGAACGAACGCUGGCGGCGUGCCUAACACAUGCAAGUCGAGCGCGAAUGGAGCAAUCCUAGUAGAGCGGCGCACGGGUGCGUAACACGUGGGUAAUCUGCCCUGGAGCCCGGAAUAACCUGCCGAAAGGCAAGCUAAUACCGGAUAAGCCUACGGUCCCCUCGGGGACUGAAGGAAAAGGUGGCCUCUGCAUGCAAGCUAUCACUUCAGGAUGAGCCCGCGGCCCAUCAGCUCGUUGGCGGGGUAACGGCCUACCAAGGCGACGACGGGUAGCCGGCCUGAGAGGGCGACCGGCCACACUGGGACUGAGACACGGCCCAGACUCCUACGGGAGGCAGCAGUGGGGAAUAUUGCACAAUGGGCGAAAGCCUGAUGCAGCGACGCCGCGUGAGGGAUGACGGCCUUCGGGUUGUAAACCUCUUUCAGCAGGGACGAAGCGAAAGUGACGGUACCUGCAGAAGAAGCACCGGCCAACUACGUGCCAGCAGCCCCGGUCA
rnacentral:rRNA from 1 species